rnacentral:RNase_P_RNA from 1 species
GCAGUGCUCCGGUCUGUCGCCGGCAUCGUUGUGAUGCGGGAGGAAAGUCCGGGCAGCAUAGGGUACCCGGCUUCCGAAAAUAGAAGCCAUUGGUGACAGUGGGAUAUGACAGAAGAGAAUGACCGCCGGGUUGAAAGACUCGGUAAGGGUGAGAAGGUGGUGUAAGAGACCACCGGCCGGCGGGUGAUCGUCGGGCCGUGUCAUCCCGGGGCUGCAAGUUCGCGUAUACCGUCGUUUGAGGGUUGCCCGCCCGAAGAUAUCCGACGGAGGGUAGAACGCUUGAACCGUGUGGUGACAUACGGGUUAGAUAAAUGACAGACACCAUGUUUUCAUGGUACAGAACCCGGCUUAUAGGUGCAGUGCUUUC